AAUUCGACGCAACGACGCAGAACCUUACCUAAACUUAACAUCCCGAUCACACCUUUUGGAAACUUAAGGGUCAGUUCGGCUGGAUCGAUGACAGGUGCUGCAUGGCUGUCGUCAGCUCGUGUCGUGAGAUGUUGGGUUAAGUCCCGCAACGAGCGCAACCCUCGUCCUUAGUUGCCAGCAUUAAGUUGGGCACUCUAAGGAGACUGCCGGUGUUAAACCGGAGGAAGGCGGGGAUGACGUCAAGUCCUCAUGGCCCUUAUGUCCAGGGCUACACACGUGCUACAAUGGCCGGUACAAAGGGUAGCAAGACCGCGAGGUGGAGCCAACCCCAAAAAGCCGGUCUCAGUUCGGAUUGGAGUCUGCAACUCGACUCCAUGAAGUUGGAAUCGCUAGUAAUCGUGGAUCAGCCAUGCCGCGGUGAAUACGUUCCCGGGCCUU
rnacentral:rRNA from 1 species